CUUCACGCUGUGCUCAGCUCGUUUCCUGGAAUGCUCCCUGCCUCCUUCACUUCUCUCCAAGCCACACCUACACUUCCAAGCCUCCGGGGUCCAGGGAUGAAUCUGAUGGGCCUCAGUGCCACGUGAGACCUGGCUGAACCCUGUCUAGCAUCCAGCUUCCUGGCCCUCAGAAUGAUGUCUGGAGAAGAAGCAUCUCGCUUCACAGCUGUCCGCCAGCUGAAAGGUCCCUCCCCUCCCGCUCUCCACGUGCGCUGGGUCACAUGUGCGCUGUCAGGGGGAAGCAGACCCUGACCGCACUGCUUUGGUGCCCAGAGAAUGAAUUUUACCAGCUGGCACCUGGUGGGAUGUGGGAGACUCUUCAUUUCCACUGUACCGGUAUCACCAAGGUCCUCCCGGGUCUCAGCCCGAGGAACCACUGGGCAUGUCCCCAGUGCCGGGGGGGGGCACUGGGCUCUUUGGCUGCCCGGGAUGCACAGAGGCACCUGGGCAGGUGGCGGGCGGCAGAGCUUCUUCUGGGCUCUCCCCGCCUUCCCCUCCCCAGGGUGGGUCCUCACCUAGGGCUGUCACGGUGCGCUGUCUCUGGGUCGUGGGCACCUGUGGGUGCCUGCCUGGGAAAGGAAGGGACCCCAGCACUCGGGCAGCUGCCUGGGACGCUGGGAAACACACUUGUCCCCGAAGGAGGGGGCAUUCCUCAGUCUGACACAGUGGGUGGUCUACCAACUCUCUUUGGCUAAAUGCCCUUAAACCUUCCACUGCUCUGACAAAACCGACUCUGCUCCUCUAAAUGAUAUUUGAAAUUUGCUCUCUUUAAAUAACCAAGGACUCCAGGUUGACAGUUCAAAAGCCAAAUCACACCUUCAAAGAAGCUGCUGGGGGGGUCCUGUGCCUUUUACGGAGGCAGGUAAGUCCUCAGGAAGUGGGGAAGCCCUCACAGGGGAGGUUUGGGCUGGACACGUGUCACAUGAACUUGGACCUUCAGGGCCCCUGACCACGUGGGGCUCAGCUUCCCACGUUGAGUCGCUCUGGGCACACGGGGCGUCCACGGGGACCUUGGGCUCCUUAGCCUGCACCCGGGAAGCCCUCGGGAGAGGUGCUCACACACACAGCACUCACUGUUCCUUGAUUUUAUUGGCCGCAGUCCUUCCGACCUCCUUCGUGUGGGCCUGGGCUUUGCAUCCGUGCCACAGGUAGAUGAGGGCUUUGUGGACGUUGAGGACGACCAUGGACGUCCUGGACCUCAGGCUGCUGCAGUGACAGGCCACCUCCAGCAAGUUCCCUUCCACGGGCACUUCUCCGCGCACACAGUACAGCCUCCACUCGCCUGCAGGGGGCACCGGUGGCACAGUCAGGACGCGGCCGUGCCGGGAGGGGGGGCGCCUGCAGGGAAGCAGAGCCUGCAGGACAGCCCACGCCCCGCCUCCUCUCUGCGUCUGGCGGGGGCAGGUGGAGGCUAGGCCAGGCUGGGUCUCACUGAGCCCCAGAAAGCCAGCCUUGUUGGAGUUAGGGAGAAGCAGGCUGCCCCAAGUGCACGAUGCAGAAAAACCAGUUUUACAUAAUUCACUUACGAAGACCUAGGUAAGUCAUAACAUAAUUUAGAAGAGAAGAUCACUGAUUUUUUUCCCCCUCCAGGAUCCAGUUGAAGGUCAAGCCAUCUUGCGGCCUCCUUUAUGCAAAGCUGCUUUCUGAAGGCAACUCCACGGAAGGAACGGGGAGGGGAGGGGCACCCAGAAAGCUGAUUUAUAAGGCAGACAUCAGGAGGCCUUCGCUGGUCAGGCCACAGCUACAUGAAGAGAGAGUUACUCUAAAGCCCCACGCCUACAAAAAUACCUUCCCGGAGAGAAAGAACAGAAUCGAAUUCCAACAGCCAAAGUGACUCACUUUGUGUGUUUUCUUCUUCCUCCUCCCGUCUCCCGGAGUGGACCACCAUACCCCCCUGGAAACACUGCAGAAAACAGGGGGGCUCCUUUCCCUGCAGGACCUGGACCUUCCGAUUUAAACACAUUACAGUGAGUCACAUGUCCUGGUUUUUGCAGAGUCAUAAAAAUAACACAUGCCUGUUGUCAAAAAUCUGAAAAAUACUGAGAAGUACAAAUAAAAGCCACUGAUAAUAUUGUGAUUUAUAGAGAACACUACUACAAUUCUGGCGUAUAGCUUUCCUAUAAUACAAAGUAUUUUCAGGUAUACAUUUUUUCCCAAAUAGGAUUGCUGUUUUUUAUGUUGCUUUAUCCCGGGAUUUUCUUCAACUGACGUUUUUCUGUUGUCACAUAAGAUUCUUAACAUGAAGUUUGAUAUUUUAAUGGCAGUGUUCCACGGUACAGAUAUAACGUGAUUAAACAUGUUUUUAAUAAAGAAAACCUCUCAGCA